rnacentral:rRNA from 1 species
CACGUAGGGCGCAAGCGUUGUCCGGAAUUAUUGGGCGUAAAGAGCUCGUAGGCGGUCUGUCGCGUCGAAUGUGAAAACCCGGGGCUCAACCCCGGGCCUGCAUUCGAUACGGGCAGACUAGAGUUCGGUAGGGGAGUCUGGAAUUCCUGGUGUAGCGGUGAAAUGCGCAGAUAUCAGGAGGAACACCGGUGGCGAAGGCGGGACUCUGGGCCGAUACUGACGCUGAGGAGCGAAAGCGUGGGGAGCAAACAGG